AACAGGAUUAGAUACCCUGGUAGUCCACGCCGUAAACGAUGUCUACUAGCUGUUCGUGUCCUUGUGAUGUGAGUAGCGCAGCUAACGCACUAAGUAGACCGCCUGGGGAGUACGGUCGCAAGAUUAAAACUCAAAUGAAUUGACGGGGGCCCGCACAAGCGGUGGAGCAUGUGGUUUAAUUCGACGCAACGCGAAGAACCUUACCUACUCUUGACAUCUACGGAAGACUGCAGAGAUGCGGUUGUGCCUUCGGGAACCGUAAGACAGGUGCUGCAUGGCUGUCGUCAGCUCGUGUUGUGAAAUGUUGGGUUAAGUCCCGCAACGAGCGCAACCCCUAUCCUUAGUUGCCAGCGAGUUAAGUCGGGAACUCUAGGGAGACUGCCGGUGAUAAACCGGAGGAAGGUGGGGACGACGUCAAGUCAUCAUGGCCCUUACGAGUAGGGCUACACACGUGCUACAAUGGUACGUACAGAGGGAGGCAAGCUGGCGACAGUGAGCGGAUCUCUUAAAGCGUAUCGUAGUCCGGAUCGCAGUCUGCAACUCGACUGCGUGAAGUCGGAAUCGCUAGUAAUCGCAAAUCAGAAUGUUGCGGUGAAUACGUUCCCGGGCCUUGUACACACCGCCCGUCACACCAUGGGAGUGGGUUGCAAAAGAAGUAGGUAGCUUAACCGCAAGGAGGGCGCUUACCACUUUGUGAUUCAUGACUGGGGUGAAGUCGUAACAAGGUAACC
rnacentral:rRNA from 1 species